rnacentral:lncRNA from 9 species
AGUCCGACGGCGCUGCUCUGAGGGCUCGCAGGGCUGGAGGAGGGCGGGGGCGCGAGCGCCGCGUCGCUCACCCCGGGUGGACGCGCCCUCGCCCCUCCCCCGCCGUCUCCACCCUCCUCCUGGUGAACAGGGAUCAAAGCAGCUGGUGGUGGCUAUGGCCACUCUCUGAGCCACAUCCGGGUGUAAGAACCAUGACAUUCUAUUGCUGUGGACACCGUUAAAAACUCAGAAGACAGGAAAUAGAGUUGGUGAGCUGCCCUUUCCUCCUACCUUGACAGAUGGUGAGCUUGGGGUGGGUUUCACGUAGGGGCAGCUGGGCGGGUAGCAACUGGGUCCACUUUGAUUUGCAGGUUACUGUGUGCCGUUACUUAGCACAUUUGCUUUUUAAAAAUGCCUUAAUGGACUGCUAUAGUAAAAAGAGAAAAAUCUUUCAUUCGUAUGUGUAAGUCGUCCAAAUGAUAUUUUUAAAGAUUUAUUUUUGUGUGUUCAUGAUGUUCUUGAAUAAUGUUUCCAUAAGUACGGUCAAAGAUAAAACACGUGGUGUACAAAAUCUGGUCGUGCAUAUUUUCGAGCGUGACUGUCUUUUGACCAGCCUUGGGUUCCAUUUCCCGAGUUCUCCGCGGACUGUGUUUCCUUAGGAGGGCUCGCGUGAGCUGGCUUGUAGGCUGGGAAACUUUUGAAUGCAGGCCAGGCUUAUACUGAUGUCCUCUGCCAGUGUCACCCCUUCCCCUCUUCCAUCAACAGCUUGGCUCUCUGACUGGGCCAGUGGAGGCCAGACUUGUGGGUCUCAGUUGUUUAUUCAGCAAACACCUUUCCUCUGCCAGGUGCUGCACCAGGCUUUGCGGGGUAUGGUGAUGAAUAAGAUGGACAGGGUAGGUGAUCUCAGGCAUCGAAUACAUUAAUGAGAAAAUAUAGUAUCUGAGGGCCUACAUCAGUGAGGGUGAUCUGGGAAGGCCUCCCUUAAGAGGGAUCAUUUCUAUAAAAACCUGAAUGACAUGAAAAACCCUGCCAUAUAAAGACCGGGAGAGGCUGCUUCCAGCCGGAAGCAAAGUAAGUUCAAAGGCCCUGAGGUCGGAAUUAAGCUUGGCUUGUUCGAAGCACUGAAAGAUGAUUGGUGUGGCCGAGGUCUGGUGAGUGAUGUGGACGGUGGCAACAGGUGAGUAAUUUAAGGCCAAUGGCCACGGCGUGGAGUAUGGAUGUCUUAGCUUGGGUUGCUGUAAACAAAAUACCGCAGACUGGGUGGCUUGAACAAUAGAUGUUUAUUCUUUCACAGUUCGGGGGGCUGGGCAGGCUGAAGUCAGGGAGCCAGCUUGGUCGGGUUCUGAUGAGGGCCCUGCCUUGGCUUGUAGAUGGUUAUCUCUUUGCUGUGUUUUCACACGGGUGUGUGUGUGUGUGUGUGUGAGAGAGAGAGAGAGAGAGAGAGAGAGAGAGAGAGAAAGAUACCUCUGGUCUUUUCUUCUUUUUUUCUUUUGGCUGUGCCUGCGGCACGUGGAAGUUCCCGGGCUAGGGAUUGAACCUGCGCCCCAGCAGCGACCCGAGCCACAGCAGUGACAAUGCUGGAUUCUUAACCAGCUGCAUCACAAAGAAACUCCUCUGGUCUUUUCUGAUAAUCCCAUCCGGCGGGGGCUUUACCCUCAUGACCUCAUCUAACCUAAUUAUCUCCCAAGGCCCCACCUCCAAAUACCUUUACAUCUGCAGUUAGGGUUUUCGUGUAUGAGUUUUGGGGAACACAAGCAUUCCAUCUGUCGCAAUGGAUUUGACCAUUAAGCAUGAUGAGACCUUUGAGUCCUGUGCGGUUUUCUUGGAGGCAGGGGAGAGGAGGGCAUUGUGGUGGCAAGUACCCUUGGCCAAAGGCUUGUUUCUUCUUUCAUUCUUUCUGUUGGAUAUUCCCAUUUAGCUUAACUACCAGUUUGGGUUUCAGUAGGUUAAGAGGUCACAUGACACGGCAGAUCAUCAAUAAACCUCCAGAUUCCAAAUCUACCGUGUCCUGGCUCAGUGUAGACGCAGACUCCUGGAGCUGGGCCCUUGGCGUGAAACAAGGUCCUCAGAGCCCCUCGGCUGCGCCCCUUCCAGCACCUCCGACAUCCCCUGAAUCUGAACAUGAGUCUGAUGGGGGGAACUUUCCUUCUCAGGGUGCCUCUGGCAUCGUCCAGGCUUCUGAUGCCUAAAGCUAGAGCUCCUGCCCCCUGGAUCCCAGAUAUUAUCCUGGUUUGGGAAGAGUCUUUGCCAGGAUGUUGAGAACUGGAGGGGGCAUUGAAACUCCUGGCGAGCAUUCUUCUCCCGCCUCUAGUUCAGGUUACUCAGAGGGUGAUCCAGGCUAGUUUGCUUGCAGAAGGGUAAGCCAGCCAGCAUAUGUGUGUGCUUGUGUUUGAAUUCUGCAUUUAUCUUCUUGUCUGAUGGUUUCAGACAAGCCAUUUAACAUCUCACACCUAAGUUGACUGUCUAGUUUGAAUCCCAGUUCUGCUACUUGCGAGCUGUGUGACCUUGGGCAAGUACUUAACCUCUCUGUUCCUCAAUUUCUCCAUAAAAGGGUGAUAUAAGAGUAGUGAUGUUUAAGAGACUUGACAUAGGUUAGUAUGUAGAGUUCCUAGGGUCGCAUCUGGUGGGCAGCAAGCACCUUCUGGAAGUGUGAGCUACUGACAUCAUCUAGGGGUGCAGCCUUUUGGUUAGACCGGUGUCUGAAGCCGUGUUGUUUGGUGCUUAUCUCCUGAUACGGCCGCCGCACUCACCUUCCAUCCUUGAGUUGAGCUCGGGUAUCCUGUCGCCCUCUAUGUGUGUAUCAUCUAAUUUGCAUCUGCUCCCCCAUCCUCCUUAACUCCAUCAAGUAAUCAGGCUCAGUUUUCCCCUCAAUUUUCCCAUCCUCCUGCCAUGACCGCCUAUGUCACCUUUCUCCCAAUGUACUGUUGUCUUCGUCCCUGUUCCCUGCUCUUCCUCUCUCAGUAACCGCCCUCCGCCCCCCCUCCCCUGAGCAUCCUACGAGGUGUCCAGGUGUUAAUUAGACUUGCACUGAAAUCUGGUGCAAAUCCACCCAUCCUCUCCUGCUAGCACCCUCAGGGCUUCGGAAGGGCUGACUCCAGGGAGAAAUUCUCUCUGCCCCAGCCACACCCCUCCAUGCGGCCCUUGCCCUUGGCUGUAGAUUCCCUUGCAGGUGGGAGAAGCCCUGAGGGCAGCUCCCGUGUCUUCUUGGGGUCAUUUCUCGCCCCUUGGUCGCUGUGUUGCUUCUGGGGUUUUGAAGGCCUUUCUUCACACCCUUGUCCUCCCCACAGCCUUCCACUCGGCCUGGCUGGCAUCUGUUGAUGGCUUGUCUGACAUUCUGGUUCCGUCCCCUCGGUUACCGUGCUCUUUGGAGCCACCCUCUGAGGCUCAGCUCCCCAACCUGUUCUCUUUUCAGUCUCUCGCUGGGAGAUGCCAUCAGUUACCAUAACAUCAGCACGCAGUCGUUUUCUCUCCAUUGUGACCUUGACUUCUGCUCCGAGUGGGGCCGUGUGUCCCCAGUGGUCUCAGGGAGGAUCCCCCGAAACCGCUGACACCCAGGCUCUCUAGCGUGCUCUCUAAGCUGGCUGCUCCUUUUGAUUUUUCUGCUGCCCACAGGGACGGGCACAUCCUUUCCAGCUCCGUGCCCGGCACUGUGUCUGCCCUUCCCUUCCCCUUCGGCAGCCUGCCUCUUAGAGCCGUUCAUCCUUCCCGCCAGCCUGGGAUCUGGUCGUUCCCUCAGGUGGAUUCAUGCAGAUUUCUCAUGGUGUCUUCUUCUGGGUCUCUCCUCAAACUCCCUCCAGAUCGCAGAACUGUCUGCAUCAAGGGAAAUCUUUAAAGACUCCCAGGUGCCAGGGCACAGGGCGGCACCCCUCUUAGCACGGAGUUCAGAGUCCAUGCUGACUCCUGAGCAGCAGUUCCUGCCCUGUUGUCCUGUUUUCAGCUCACCGCCUUCAGCUCCCUGAUCCCGCAUUCUCUCCUGGGCCCGGCCUGCCUCCAACCCCCUCAGCCUGCCCCUUCUUGCUCCCACUCUGGAUGCCUCCUGGGAGGUUAGUUUCAUGUGUCGCCUUGGCCGGGUCCCAGUAGUAUCAAACACGAAUCUAAGUGUCGCCGUGAAAGUAUUUUGUGGAUGUGGUUAACAUCUAGAGAAGGUUACCCUGGAUGAUGUGUGUGGGCCCCAUCCAAUCAACUGACAGGUCCUAGAGAAGGAAUUCUUCCUCCAGACCUCAUUGUCAGCUCCUCCUGUGUUUGGGGAGGUCCCCGGUGGCACAGUGGGUUAAGGAUCUGGCAUUGUCACUGAUGUGACUCAGGUCACUGCUAUGGCGAGAGUUCGAUCCCUGGCUGGGGAAUCUUCCAUAUGCCAUGGGCACAGCUAAAAAAACGCAAUAUAAACAAAAAGAAAUCAAUCUGUGUGUGUGUGUGUGUGUAAAUAGACACAUGUGCACGUGUGCACACGCACAUGCCUACAGAUAUGUAUGCAUGUUUUCCUGGUUCUGUUCCUCUGAGAACCCUCACUGGUGUACCUUCCGUGGCCUGCCCAGACCUCACCUUCUGAAAUCCUCUGAGUAGUCAGCCUCCAGAAGCCAUGCCUUCCAGCCUUUUCUGAGUUCCCUGACCGUCUGGAUCCCUCCUUGACUUUUCUCACAGAGCGCCUGGUAGGGUUACGAAACUUUAAGGUUGUACCCCCACAGUUCUAUUCUUGGGGAGAGGUACCCAUUUUGUGCAUCCUUGGCUCUUCCUAGGCUCCCAGAAGAACUAUGGGUACGUAGGAGGUGGUCCCUAAAUAUUUGCUGGCUGAAUGCGCGUGGAGGGAUUGGGUGGUAGGUUUGCUGCUGGUGACUCUAAGCUGACUGGAAAUACUUUCCUGGAUUUUCGGUGGGGAGCGUCAAGGGUGUCUAACCCAAGGUCCUUCUUCAAAGAGUUGGUUUAUUCUUUUUGUGCUCGAGGCCUGAGGUUCUAAAAUAUACCCAGGCUGCAUUUCUUUCCCCCUGUUCUCCAUGUCUCGGCCCAGCAAAGUUUUCCAGAUCGUAAGGUACUAGUUCAGACAUACCAGCGGAGACUAAGACUUGAAACUCUCUGGGGCUUCCAGAUGGUCAUUUGGUUAGUGGACACACCCGGAGUGUUGUCAUGCUUAGAGCUGCAUCUCCUGGUGGAAUGUGAGUCUUGGAUUUGCCUCCUAAGUGGCCAUCCCUUGUGGAUCUGCCAGGAGUUCCAGGUGGAAAACCACAGAGGUGCCCGUCUACGUGCGGACAGCCGAGCAGACUGCAGGACCGGGGCAUCCUUGUGACCUGCAGCCCAGCCCCCACCGUGCAGGCUGACUCCUUCCAGGUCCCUCGUGAUGUGUCAGCACAUUCAUUCAAGAAAUCCCUGCCUUGAGCUAGGGAGCUUUUCAGUUUUAGCAAAAGCCCAUACCUUCCUGGAAUUUUCUCUUAAAGACCUAGUGCAUAACCCUGCUUUCCCUCUGCUGGGACAUUUUGGAAUUGACAGCCCUCAGGCCGUCUCUUUUAACCAAAAACACCAUUCCUGUUGUUGGGUGAGGCAGAGUUAACGAGCACAGAGGAGGGCAUGGCACAUGACUUUUCGACAUGGCCCCGAUUCCUUUUAUUUUGUCGUUUUUAUGGAAAGGUCAAAUAAUUGGGAAAAAAAAGGCCUUCGAUGAGGAAUUCUACUUAGGGUUUACAAAAAAGCACACUUUGUUGAUAAAAUAUGAACUCUUUGAAAGAUUUCUAAGAGUCUAAAAUCCUGCACAGCCCUUCAGAAUUUGAAGCAGCAGGAAACCACUGUGAUAUUUUUAAAACAAGUAUUUAUAAAAGUAAUUGGGUACUCUUGAUGUGGAUAAGGAGGGGGAAAAAAAAACGGUAAGGAAGCUAUAUUGGACUCAACAUAAAAGCGAGGUAUGUAAUUUGCGAGCAGAACGAAGGGCGAGGACCGUGUACACACAGUACCUGCGGGCCCCUCUCGUUCCAAAGCAGUGGAGGCAGAGGCAGCCCAGCGCUCCGCAGACCCUGGGCAGUGCCCAGGCAGGUAUUGCAGCUAAUUCCUGAAACCCCAAUUUCAAACCCCGAGGCCCUCUCAUCACUGAUUACAUGCAAACAGGACAGAAAACACAUGUUUCUGAGAACAUUUUGGUUAAAAUUAAAAAUGCGGCAGUGACUGUGCCAAUAAUUUACUCGGGAAUAUCCGAACCAGAUGCUGCUAGCCAGUCAUUCCGAGUAAUUUGCCAAAAUUAUGUAUUUACUUUAAUCCGAGAGAUGAAGUUAAAGUAUGCAUGGUUUUUGUUAUUUGUGAUGCAAAAAACAAAACAAAACACACACACACACACACACACACAAACGGAACAAAACAAAACAAAACUGAUGUGACUUCAGCUAAUACCAGGUGGAGGACAAGACGUGGGCAGGCUGUCUGUUAAUUACUGCUGGAACUCGAGAGUGAGUUAAGCAAAAAUGCUGUCAGAAACAGAUCUUUGACAAGUGCAGGACCCUAGGAAGUUAGGUGGACAUUUUGGGACAGGACAUUUAAUUCCCAAAAUGACAACCUUGCCUUAAGACAGCGUUUCUACUGGGGACAGAAUUCUGAUUCCUGAGUGGCCUCCGCUCAUGAUACUUCAUCUUGUUUCUGUGGUGCCAAACAUUUGGAUGAAAAUGGAAAAAAAUUCAGUGAGUUGUCUGGAUUUAUGUCCUCUGUGAAGCCAAAUCAUCAAAUAGUGGGGCUAGCUGGUCAGCUCUCUGGGGUUCUUAUUUAGGUAUUUAGCACCUAACUGGACAGAGGCAAUUUAGGGUGGUGGGUAAGCGUGCAGGCUUUGAAGUCAGGCUGCUGGGUUCAAAUCCUGGUUUUGUCACAUGUGAGCUGUGGGGGUAGUUACUUAAGGUCUCUGUGCUUAGUCUUCUCCUCAGUGAAAAGGGUGUCAUAACAGCAUCUACCUCGCGGUGCUGUUCUGAGGAUUAAAUGAGUUAACCCUUGGCGUAGCGUUUAGUCUAUUAACACCUGAAUGCAGAAAAAUCCUCAAUAAAUAUUAUUCACCUUUAUUCUUUAUACUAUUUAAGACCUAGGGGAGGGGAUUCUUUCAAUUUUGCCUUUUGUACCCUUGACAAAUGCAAAGUGUUAUUUUGAGGGGGGAGAAUUGUUUUUUUUUUUUUCCCCAUUGUGGUAAAAUAUACAUUUACUAUUUUCACUUUUUUUUUUUUUUUUUUUGGUCAAAUCUGUGGCAUAUGGAGGUUCCCAGGUCAAAUCGGGGCUGUAGUUGCCAGCCUACCCUACAGCCACAGCAACAUGGGAUCUGAGCCACAUCUGUGACCUACACCACAGCUCAUGGUAAUGCCAGAUCCUUAACCCACUGAGCAAGGCCAGGGAUAGAACUCGAGUCUUCAUGGAUACUAGUCAGGUUCGUUAACCACUGAGCCACGACGGGAACUCCUUCACCUUUCUUUAAAGCAUACAGUUCAGUGGCUUUAAGUAUAUUCACUUUGUUGUACCAUCAUCAUCCCCUUCCGUCUUCAGAAGAGAAAGUUUUUGUUAUAAAAAUAAAGUCUGGAACCCAUGGCUGCCUGUCUACACCUCGUCCCUCUCUCUUGACCUUUUACAGUGACCUGGUAGCAGGCUUUCUGCUCCCUCUAAUUUGGAUGUGGCUCUUGUUCUAGGAAGCACAUCUGAUCUCUGUUAGCCUUUUAGGGUCUUUGCACAAUCCCCCCACCCCCUGUACCAUUCCUACAGAAUAAAACCUGGUCUCACUAGCAUGGCAUGUAAAGUUCAUGCCUGAUGCCCUAAUACUUGGCUCACAGGCCCCAAGGAGUGUUUGGAGGUCUCUGAAUAGUAGCUGCCAGUUCGGAUAAAGGAUGAGCGAUCCAGGAAUCAUGCCCAUUUUAUGGAUGAGAAGCAGUGUGGGCUUCAGCCUGGGAUGGCGCCUCACUUAGGACUGGGUGCUCUUCGGGGUCUGUCGUGUUGUACACAGUUUGAGGGGCACCAGGAACCAGGCAGCAUUCUCUGCUUCCCAAAUCCUGCUUGAGGGUGGUCCUUGCAUGUGAAAUGGUGCUGCCAGGGAGCUGGGUCUGAGGUCAGGGGUCCAGUCCUGCCUCUGCCCCUCAUUUGGGUGGGGACCCGAUCCUCUGUCCCUCAUCUCUGAAGUGAGGUUGGGGCUCAUUGGUCUCUGCAGAAGUGGGUGAGGCCUGGGAGGGCUUCCUUCGGAUGGGUGCAGAGACAAGGUCAGAGGAGGCAGAGGGGCCUCCUUAUUCUUCGCUUUGCCUGGGGAGCUGCCUGGCUUCUGGCACCUGCUCGCACUCUGAAAAUGUGCCGCCUGGGGAGUCUGCGGAGUGAAGGAAUGAUUUCGCUCCUCAGUGGCACUCAUGAUGCUCCUUCACUCAUGAACUCUUUCCCUUGGGGCUAAUCAUCAGCUCCCCCACGCCCGUCUCCCUCUGUAUUAGCUAGCAUGCCUGGCACUGGUUGUCCACCGGCCUAUUCUUAUUAUGCACUUGACCUUGGGAAAUUGAUACCUUUCUUCUGGAUCCUUUAAAAAAAAAAAAAA